rnacentral:lncRNA from 1 species
AAAUUUUAUGAAGAAACUAGUUUUAUAGAAAGAGAUAUGAUAGAGUCCUUGUCUAGGUCAAAUACCUAGUCAAGGCUUAUCCAAACAUGGCAAGAUAAGGGGUACCCAACUCUUGGGUGCCUCCUCCUUAUUUUCAUGCAUAUACCAUUAGCAAAGGGUGCAUAAUAUGUGCCCUAAAAGCCAUAAAAAUCUCAAAAAAAAAUCUGGAUAAAUUUGAUACAAAAAGGAAAGAGUUUUGGAUUUUUAAAACUCUAUCUCAUAGAAUUUGAAAUCCAAACUUAUUCCUACUUUGAUUUGAUCCACAACCACUUUUCAUAUAUGAAAGAAGAGAGAAAACCUUUUGGAUGUGGAAAAGUUUUGGGAGAGGGCUUUUGUCGCACAAAAUA